UGCGACCAUACCAGCACUAAAGCACCAGAUCCCAUCAGAACUCUGAAGUUAAGUGUGCUUGGGCGAGAGUAGUACUAGGAUGGGUGACCUCUUGGGAAGUCCUCGUGUUGCACU
rnacentral:rRNA from 1 species